ACGGAGGAUGCGAGCGUUAUCCGGAUUUAUUGGGUUUAAAGGGUGCGUAGGCGGAUUGAUAAGUCAGCGGUGAAAACCUUCAGCUUAACUGGAGAAUUGCCGUUGAUACUGUUAGUCUUGAGUACGGUCAAGGUAGGCGGAAUGUGUAAUGUAGCGGUGAAAUGCUUAGAUAUUACACAGAACACCGAUUGCGAAGGCAGCUUACUGGACCAAUACUGACGCUGAGGCACGAAAGCGUGGGGAGCGAACAG
rnacentral:rRNA from 1 species